rnacentral:rRNA from 1 species
AACGAACGCUGGCGGCAGGCUUAACACAUGCAAGUCGAACGCAUCCUUCGGGGUGAGUGGCAGACGGGUGAGUAACGCGUGGGAACGUGCCCUUCAGUUCGGGAUAACCCAGGGAAACUUGGUCUAAUACCUGAUACGUGCGAGUGCAGAAAGAUUUAUCGCUGAAGGAUCGGCCCGGGUCUGAUUAGCUAGUUGGUGGGGUAAUGGCCCACCAAGGCGACGAUCAUGAGCUGGUAUGAGAGGAUGAUCAGCCACAUUGGGACUGAGACACGGCCCAAACUCCUACGGGAGGCAGCAGUGGGGAAUAUUGGACAAUGGGCGCAAGCCUGAUCCAGCCAUGCCGCGUGAGUGAUGAAGGCCUUAGGGUUGUAAAGCUCUUUCGUCCGGGACGAUAAUGACGGUACCGGAAGAAGAAGCCCCGGCUAACUUCGUGCCAGCCGCCGCCGUAAGAC